GUAGGGUGCGAGCGUUAAUCGGGAAUUACUGGGGCGUAAAGCGUGCGCAGGCGGUUGUGGCAAGACAGAUGUGAAAUCCCCGGGGCUCAACCUGGGAAUUGCAUUUGUGACUGUACGGCUAGAGUGUGUCAGAGGGGGGGUAGAAUUCCACGUGUAGCAGUGAAAUGCGUAGAGAUGUGGAGGAAUACCGAUGGCGAAGGCAGCCCCCUGGGAUAACACUGACGCUCAUGCACGAAAGCGUGGGGAGCAAACAGGAUUAGAUACCCUGGUAGUCCACGCCCUAAACGAUGUCAACUAGUUGUCGGGUCUUAAUUGACUUGGUAACGCAGCUAACGCGUGAAGUUGACCGCCUGGGGAGUACGGUCGCAAGAUUA
rnacentral:rRNA from 1 species